rnacentral:ncRNA from 2 species
CGCCUCUAAGUCAGAAUCCGGGCU